GACGAACGCUGGCGGCGCGCUUAACACAUGCAAGUCGAACGGAAAGGCCUGCUUUCCCUUGUGGAUUGCGGGUACUCGAGUGGCGAGCGGGUGAGUAACACGUGAGUGAUCUGCCCCCAACUUGGGUAUAAGCCUGGGAAACUGGGUCUAAUUCCCGAUAGGACUGCAGGGUGGUGCCUGUGGUGGAAAACGAUUUUCUAGUGGUUGGGGAUGAGCUCGCGGCCUAUCAGCUUGUUGGUGGGGUAAUGGCCUACCAAGGCGGCGACGGGUAGCCGGCCUGGGAGGGGGGACGGCCACAUUGGGACUGAGAUACGGCCCAGACUCCUACGGGAGGCAGCAGUGGGGAAUAUUGCACAGUGGGCGGAAGCCUGAUGCAGCGACGCCGCGUGGGGGAUGACGGCCCUCGGGUUGUAAGCUCCUUUCGACCGCGAGGAAGCCACCUGGUUGGAAGGGUGGUGACGGUAGUGGUAGAAGAAGCACCGGCUAACUACGUG
rnacentral:rRNA from 1 species